GACUAACGCUGGCGGCGUGCCUAAUACAUGCAAGUCGAACGCAGUUGGGACGGGUGAGUAACACGUGGGUAACCUCCCAUCAGAGGGGAUAACACUUGGAAACAGGUGCUAAACCGAUACAGAUGGAUGGACCCGCGGUGCAUUAGCUAGUUGGUGGGUGAACGGCUCAACAAGGCCACGAUGCAUAGGCGACCUGAGAGGGGGGUCGGCCACACUGGGACUGAGACACGGCCCAAACUCCUACGGUAGGCAGCAGUAGGGAAUCUUCGGCAAUGGACUAAAGUCUGAGCGAGCAACGCCGCGUGAGUGAAGAAGGUUUUCGGAUCGUAAAACUCUGUUGUUAGAGAAGCGGUAUCUAACCAGAAAGCCACGGCUAACUACGUGCCAGCAGCCGCGGUAAUUC
rnacentral:rRNA from 1 species